UACGUAGGGUGCAAGCGUUGUCCGGAAUUAUUGGGCGUAAAGAGCUCGUAGGCGGUCUGUCACGUCGGCUGUGAAAUCCCGAGGCUCAACCUCGGGUCUGCAGUCGAUACGGGCAAACUAGAGUAUUGCAGGGGAGACUGGAAUUCCUGGUGUAGCGGUGAAAUGCGCAGAUAUCAGGAGGAACACCGGUGGCGAAGGCGGCAUCCUGGACCAACACUGACACUGAGGAGCGAAAGCCAGGGGAGCAAACGGG
rnacentral:rRNA from 1 species